rnacentral:rRNA from 1 species
UACCAGCACCCCCGAGUGGUCGGGACGUUUUAUUGGGCCUAAAGCAUCCGUAGCCGGUUCUACAAGUCUUCCGUUAAAUCCACCUGCUUAACAGAUGGGCUGCGGAAGAUACUAUAGAGCUAGGAGGCGGGAGAGGCAGGCGGUACUCGAUGGGUAGGGGUAAAAUCCGUUGAUCCAUUGAAGACCACCAGUGGCGAAGGCGGCUUGCCAGAACGCGCUCGACGGUGAGGGAUGAAAGCUGGGGGGAGCAAACCGG